rnacentral:rRNA from 1 species
UGCCAGACUCCUACGGGAGGCAGCAGUGGGGAAUAUUGCACAAUGGGGGAAACCCUGAUGCAGCGACGCCGCGUGAGUGAAGAAGUAAUUCGUUAUGUAAAGCUCUAUCAGCAGGGAAGAAAAUGACGGUACCUGAGUAAGAAGCCCCGGCUAACUACGUGCCAGCAGCCGCGGUAAUACGUAGGGGGCAAGCGUUAUCCGGAUUUACUGGGUGUAAAGGGAGCGUAGACGGCAGUGCAAGUCUGGAGUGAAAGGCGGGGGCUCAACCCCGGGACUGCAUUUGGAACUGUAAGGCUAGAGUGUCGGAGAGGCAGGCGGAAUUCCUAGUGUAGCGGUGAAAUGCGUAGAUAUUAGGAGGAACACCAGUGGCGAAGGCGGCCUGCUGGACGAUGACUGACGUUGAGGCUCGAAAGCGUGGGGAGCAAACAGGAUUAGAUACCCCGGUAUC